UACAGAGGUGGCAAGCGUUGUUCGGAAUUACUGGGCGUAAAGGGCGCGUAGGCGGCCUUCUAAGUCAGACGUGAAAUCCCUCGGCUUAACCGGGGAACUGCGUCUGAUACUGGAUGGCUUGAGUUCGGGAGAGGGAUGCGGAAUUCCAGGUGUAGCGGUGAAAUGCGUAGAUAUCUGGAGGAACACCGGUGGCGAAGGCGGCAUCCUGGACCGAUACUGACGCUGAGGAGCGAAAGCCAGGGGAGCAAACGGG
rnacentral:rRNA from 1 species